CUGGACUCAGGAUGAACGCUAGCGGCAGGCUUAACACAUGCAAGUCGAGGGGCAGCGGGAUGUAGCAAUACAUUGCCGGCGACCGGCGGAUGGGUGCGUAACGCGUAUGCAACCUACCUUAUACAGGGGAAUAACCUUUCGAAAGGGAGACUAACACCCCAUGGUAUUGAUUUAAGGCAUCUUAGAUUAAUUAAAUAUUUAUAGGUAUAAGAUGGGCAUGCGUAUGAUUAGCUAGUUGGUAAGGUAACGGCUUACCAAGGCGACGAUCAUUAGGGGUUCUGAGAGGAAGGUCCCCCACACUGGUACUGAGACACGGACCAGACUCCUACGGGAGGCAGCAGUGAGGAAUAUUGGUCAAUGGGCGCAAGCCUGAACCAGCCAUGCCGCGUGCAAGGAAGACGGCCUUAUGGGUUGUAAACCGCUUUUACAUAAGACUAACCGUAUAUUUGCGAAUAUACCUGAAUGUAUUAUGAGAAUAAGGAUCGGCUAACUCCGUGCCAGCCGCAGC
rnacentral:rRNA from 1 species